CUCCUCUCAGGAUCGUACCUGUGGAGUUUCCAGUACUCUAUCAGUCUCUGCUAUGAGAGGGAGAGUGAAGCAGAGGCCUACCCAUUCCAUUCCUAGCUUGGUCAGUGGCUAGCGAGUGGAAGGCAACCUGCUACAAGU